ACAGGCAACAUAACAAUGCAGUGGUUACAUUUUGGCCUGAGCACCAGUUUAUAGUCCCUCUUGCAUGUGAGGUUUCCUAUCCCCUUCGCUCUGUUUUCUGUCAGUGGUCUCGGCAAGGGGAAAAGAGCUUGAGGAGAAACUGCAUCUGCUGUAUACUGAAAACACCCACCGAAAAAUUUGUCAAGUUGUUCAGUGUCGGUGUACCCCAAGCCCAGAGGCUUUACUUUGCGCAAGACUAUCUUGUUUACCUGCUUCUCCAGAUGUAGGUUGCCAGAUCGUAGAAAGCACAUGCAGCCUAAAGGAGGUCUGAGGCUUUGGCUGUGGACCGGUGCCAUGCUGGGCCUACUUAUUAUCUCCAGAUGACAUCAGCCUGAGCAGCAGAUGCCUUUUUGGCCACAGGGACGAAGCCCAUAAGCUGAACUGGCGGAUGAAUGUGGAAAACAGAAGACAACUCAGACACCUCUCUCAGGCCUCCUGCGCAUCUCUCCCGGGACGGAGGAUUAGGCCGAGAGGGGAAAUGAAUGCUUGCUGGGUAGUCGGCCUUCUCUGUGCUGACAGCAGGAGGUCCAUUGUCUGGUUUGAUAAGCACGCAGGACACGGGACAUUUGAUCUGGCAGAACUGACGCACAUGAAACAGUUAGCGAGCACAGGGCUGCAGAAGAACCACAAUCCCGUUGGCAGGAAGUACUGAUGUUUCCAUAUGAGGGCUACAGUGUGAAGAAGAUUGUUUGUGAGAUUUAACAAUCGGUGAGACAAAGCAGCUCUGUUCUGAUCCAACGAAGGGAGCAGGGGUGGUUAAAAUUUCAUGCAAUCAAUGGCAUCAAACAUACAAUAAAGGCAAAUAGGUUUCCAGAAGACACGAGCAGCGUCUUACAUUAUUCUUCAUGAUCAAUGGAUAAUGCAAUAUCACAAACUUUUUUAUUUUUAUGUUUUUAUUUUUUGGGGGGGUCCAACAUUACCAUUCAGCUAUGGAGCACCACAGCGCACUGUUCCCCUCUCCCCACGAAACCCAUCAAGGGUAUUUAAGUCGCUGAUAAUUACUUCCCUGUCCCCAUUGAGGGGAGGAAGUGAGUGAGAGGGAAAUUAAGGGAGGGAGGAAGAGACUUUUAAAAGAGCUAAAGCUUCGCUGCGGCACAAAUCCUCUCAACCUAACAAAACCAAAUCAGCCUACAGCCUACAGCAAUCCACAGACCACUCUAUGUUCACACAUACACACACACUGGAAGAUGAUCCUGUAAAUCUGUGGUCUCAAGGGGCUUUUUGAGUGCUUCUCCAGAGGGCGUGGGGCUGGAAGGACGUGACAACGGGGUUCAAGGAUUGAAGGAAAGGCGUUAAUGUCCCCCAAUUGCAGCUAAAAUGUUACAUUAGGGUAGGUUAACUCCAAUCUGGGGUAUAGUGUUCCACUGCAGCUAACCACAGCCCUAAAUUGGGACAAGCCAUUAAGUCAAUAUAGAAAAGAUUACCUGAGAAAUUGAGGCUAGCUUUCCUCUCUGACAGGCUCAAACCCCCACAAAAGCCCAUGUCAAAAUUAGACUUGAGGCCAGGAGUCCGCCUGUUGCCUAGCCUUAGUCUAUAUAUUGACCUCCACUGGCUUGUUUGACAAAUAAAUAUGGCCACGACAGCAGGCUUGGUCACAAAUAGCUAAACCAGAACAACGCUGUGCAACUCUAAAGGGGACGGGUGGUCUUGAGGAGAGCGUGCAGUAUGAAGAAACUUUUUUUCUUUCUUUUAACCGUUCAAGUGCCCAUACAUUUUGACCCCGAACCCGUAAUAAUAUCACUAUACUCGAAGUGAGGCAGAGGAUCCCUGAAGUUGAAAUUAUAGAUUCACCGCUGAUUUCAACUUUUUUUUGAAAAUGAUCUAAAAUGUUUUGGUUUUUUUCCAUCUCCUCAUAUUUCUCUUUGUGGUCUGAAAAAGAAAGGACAUUGUAUGCUUAUUUGUUAUAUUGAUUUUAAUGAACUUGAUGUGUCUUACUUUAAUUGUUAUUUUCAACUUGGUUGAUAAGCUAACACAUACAGUGUUGUUUCUUUAAAUUAUUAUGGCCUUUAUGAUUUCUUAUCGAAAACAAAAUACUUGAAUGACGUUGUUAGGCCAUUGGUGAUUUAUUGGAAUAUUGUGUUUUUGUGUUGCUUCUUUCGUAGCGAGUAUGUACACUAAAACCACAUCCAUUGUAUUUUGAGCUUACUUUUAUGAAUAUUUUUAAUAUGUAUAACAAUAUUGACCGAUUUGAAGAGAUCGUUUUUCCUCCUG